rfam:Dipodomys ordii contig_68800, whole genome shotgun sequence.
GGGAAUGUAGCUCAGUGGUAGAGUGCUUGCCUAGAAUGCAUGAAGCCCCAGAUUCGAUUCCUCAGUACCA